AUGAUUGACAUGAUUUCAGCUGUCCAAGACCUUAGUGGGCUGACCACCAGGGAACUUGGUGAGAUGCUCAAGGAGUCCGACAGCUUCGUCUUGCAGUCCAAGGCGCAAAACGGAGGUCCAGAGCAGGUGGACAUGGAGAAGCUUGUCUCGUCGCUUCCUCUCCAUCUUCUUGCUCUAAGUUUGGAUAUCGGAAGAGGCACAGAUUUGACAUAUGUGCUCCGUGGCGUGCGCUUUUUGCAUUGCUUGUCUGAGCUAGCAACUCGCCACACCAAGCUGGAGCAGGUUCUUCUGGAUGAUGUCAAGUUAUCUGAACAAGUUAUGGACCUGAUAUUCUACCUGCUAUCCGUUCUGUCCCACUGGAAGAAGGAAGAUCAUCUUGGCGCUUCUCCCUUCAUACAUUCAUCACUCGUAGCAGGAAGUCUUCAUCUGAUGACGAGUUACUUCUCAUCUCAGUGGCAUGAACUUGUUCAUAUUCUUCUUGCACAUCCAAAGGUUGAUAUCUUUAUGGAUGUAGCCUUUGAUAGUCUGCACGAAGAUAUGAGGUUAUUGAGUGUCAGGCUAUCAACAUUGGGCACCAAAGCCUUUCCUGUUGGCCCUUUUGACUCACAACUCACUUACUUCAUAUGCCAACAGUGUGAAGCAUCAUUGCAAUUUCUUUUGUCACUGUGCCAGCAGAAGUUAUUCCGAGAUCGUAUUUUAAAAAACAAGGAGCUCUGUAGAAAUGGAGGUAUACUGUCACUCUCGUUUACGAUAUUGAAGUUAGGUGUUCCAGAAUGGCUGAAAGGAUCAACUGACAUCGCUUCUUCCAUUUCCAGACAGAAGGCUAAAAUCCUUUCUAUUCUGUUACAACUGUGUGAAUCUGAAAGUAUUUCUUACCUCGAUGAAGUCGCCACUUUACCAAAGAGCAUGCAACUAGGGCUGGAGGUUCUUGAUUUGCUGAAGAUUGCAUUUGGAAGGAAACAAAAACCUGCUGCCGGUCCCCAUGAUAAGAGUUACCCCGUGGGUUCUGUGCUUAUCAGUGCAUUGCGCCUCGUUGACGUCUUUUCUGAUGAUUCAAACUUUAGAUCUUCCUUCAUAACUAAUACUAUUCCCUUUCUGACGCAAAUUUUGGCGACUCCUCAUGAUGAGUUUGUCUCGAGUUGGUGCUCUGUCGAUCUGCCAGUGAUAGAAGAUGAUGCUAAUCUGGAUUAUGAUCCAUUUGGUGCAGCUGACCUGGCACUGUUAGCUGCUUCAAAUAUGCUGACUGAAGCUAAAGUUAACUAUUCAUGCAAUUUUCGCUCUAUCAGCAUGCCUUCAAUACAAUAUGCACAGACAAGAACAUCCUGUGUGGUGAAAAUAAUAGCAAAUUUGCACGUCUUUGUUCCAAACAUAUGCGAAGAGCAAGAAAGAGACCUCUUUCUUCAGAAAUUUCAGAAAUACUUGUUAUCAGAGAGUCCCAAGCCAUCAUUGGACCAUCCAGCAGCUGAUGAGAUCACUAUAGUUUGUACAAACUUGGGAUCUUUGUCCCAUUAUGCUAAAUCAUUAAUCCCUGGUAAUUUGUUAAAUGAGGAAGAUGUGCAACUAUUAAGUGAUUUUGCUUAUAAGUUGCAACGUUGGUGUAAAUCGCAAGUUGGACAGAGAAUAUCGCAGGUGGCAAAAAGUGACGUCACAUCAGAAAUGAAGGUAGACUUGCAACCGGUGCAGCAGCCCCAGCCCCAGCCAGCAAGGGCUAGCGUUCCAGAUCCCAAUAUGGAUGGCCCUCCUAAGCAGGAUGUGCAAAACAUCGAAGAGUCUAUGGCGACGCCCCCCAUGAAACAAGAUGGAAAUGCUAGGGAUGAGACUCCAAGAAACCGUGCCACUACAAAUGGUGGGGUCCUGCAAAAUUCAGUCGGUCAGAACCUAAUCCAUCUUGGUGUUGCGAGGACGACUAGCGCGGGCUAUCCGGGUCCCAGUACUGCUACCAGCAUGGAGGUCCCGCGCUGCAGAAGUGUAGACCAUUUCAAAACACCAGAACCUACCAAGGAAAGUGGUCUCCGGGACGAGGAUGAGAGGCAGCCUAGUAGGAGAGGAAAGAAGCGAACCAUCAUGAAUGACGGGCAGGUAAAUGAAAUUGAGAAUGCUCUGGUUGAUGAGCCCGAGAUGCAUAAGAAUGCCGCUUCCCUUCAGACAUGGGCAGAGAAGCUGAGUGGGAAGGGUGCGGAGAUCACAUCAUCGCAACUAAAGAAUUGGCUGAACAACAGAAAAGCCAAGCUUGCUCGUAUCGCGAAAGAAAGAGGAGUGCCAUACGAUGGCGAGGGUGCCGACAAGUCAUCUACACCAGCUACUUCUCAGUUGGGCGACUCCUCAGAGAGUGCCGGCGAGGAGAGCUAUCUGCCGCCUUCAAGGGUGCUGAAUGCUCUAGGCUUAUCCAACUCCAAGGGCAGCAGCAGGCUCGUUACCCCAGACUCGAGCGAGCAAAGUACACAAGACAUGAUGACGAGCCGCCCGUUCACAAGAUCAUUGUCAUUCGAGCCUGGCCGCCCCGUUCUGCUGAUGGACAACGAAGGGAGCGAAGUUGGCAGGGGCGAGAUCUUCCAGGUCGAGGGCAGGGCGCAGGGGAAGAGCCUGGCAGAGAGCCACAUCUGCAUCAUCGACGUCACCGAGCUCAAGGUCGAGAAGUGGAGGGAGCUCCCCCACCCUUCCGAGGCAUCCGGGAGGACUUUCCAGGAGGCGGAGUCGAGGCACGGCGGCGUGAUGAGGGUGGCCUGGGAUGUCGUCAGGCUCGCUCCAGUGGCGACGUAG
rnacentral:rRNA from 1 species